GGAUGUGAGGACAAUCUGGCUGCGACAUCUGUCACCCCACUGAUCGCCAGGGUUGAUUCGGCUGAUCUGGCUGGCUAGGCAGGUGUCCCCUUCCUCCCUCAAUGUUCCAUGUGCAUCCCUGCCAAAGCUGCAAGCUCGGUCGAAGAGGACAACCACCCCCAAUAGAGGAGGACCGUUCCUUGGUCAAGGGUAUACGAGUAGCUGUGCUCCCCUGCUAGAACCUCCAAACAAGCUCUCAAGGAACCUGAGCCCAGGAGUUUCAGAGCUGCCUGAACAACACAGUGAGACCCAUCUCAAAAACAAAACCAAAAAGAAAAAGGGAGGGCUCUCUCUCU
rnacentral:snRNA from 1 species